rnacentral:rRNA from 1 species
GCGCACCAGUCGAGAAACUCCGCAAUGCCCGAAAGGGUGACGGGGAUUCCAAGUGCCUACGCUUAGCGUAGGCUGUUCAGGUGCCUAAAAAGCACCUGGAGGAAGGGCUGGGUAAGACGGGUGCCAGCCGCCGCGGUAAUACCCGCAGCCCGAGUGGUAGUCGCUUUUAUUGGGCCUAAAGCGUCCGUAGCCGGUCUGGUAAAUGCCUGGGUAAAUCGUGGGGCUUAACCUCACGAAUUCCGGGUAGACUGCCAGACUUGGGACCGGUUGAGGGAGAGGGUACUCCAGGGGUAGGGGUGAAAUCAGCAAGGUAAGCUGAUGUAACUUGCCUUGCAAGUCACAAUCCUGUAAUCCUUGGAGGACCACCGGUGGCGAAAGCGCUCUCCUAGGACGGGUCCGACGGUGAAGGACGAAAAGCCAGGGGAGCAAAACCGGAUUAGAUACCCCCGUAGU